GGUUGAUAGUUUUAAUCACAUCCUCAUUUUGGGUCUUAUUUCCUCCUAUCAGCGAUAAGCGAUAAGCUGAGGGAGACACAUGAGGAGAGAGGAGUCGAGCUGCUUCAUAAAGUGCUUUGUUACACUGUACUCUGUAUGUAAUGAUCUCAGAUGUUGGAUGAUCAUAACAGUGUCUAUGGUUACUUUAAUAUUCAGGACUGUUAAAUAUAAUUCACACCAGUGCAACAAGAACGUGUCGUAUUUCUUUUGUUUGCACACAGAAAGUUUGAUCACAGUUUAAUGAGAAUUCCUUCACACAGAGGACCCAAGGAAGCAGGAAACAAAGGAAGAAAAGAAAAAAGCGUGAUGCAGAGGGGAGGAGUGUGGAGGUGUGUGCUGUGUGUUUGGAGGAGGGACUCCUUCAGUUAGAGAAGUGAGGCGUCACAAGUUCCUGGUUUCCAGUGAAGAAGAAGAGAGGCAGCAGUAAACCAUCAGAGCCUCAUCAUGAAAGUCCAUCACACUCUGAUCUGCUUCUUCUUCCUUUCUCUGCAGGAUGGAAACGCUGAAGUCAACACCGACAAAAACAUUUCCUUUGGAGUCGUUGGAAGAAAUCUAACAGCUGAAUUCUCCUUUCCUGCUGGAACAUGGAAAAUGUUGUGCAGAGGAGAAUGUAAAGGAGGAAACAUUCUUAUUAAUACAACAGAUGAGAAGCAUCAAAGUUACAGAUACAGCACUGGAUAUGUAAUUGUAGAAAGUGCUCCUCAUUUCUCUGUGAGCAUCACACAGCUGAUCAUGUCUGAUGCUGGACAGUACAGCUGUGGUGUGGGUGAAUCUCCAUCAUCAGUUUCAUACAGACAGUUUGAAGUUGUUGUUGCUGAAGCACUGCUGGAUGGAGACGAUCCUGCUCAGCUGAAACACUUCUAUAAAGAAACUGGAAGCUCUCUCACAGUCGGAUGUUACUUUAAACAGUCUGGAGGACAAAAGUUCUUCUGCAGGGGAGAAUGUGGAGAGGGCGAGGUUCUUCUUCAAACAGAUGAUGAAGAUGCUUCCAAAGACAGAUACAGAAUUGGAUUUAGAGGAACUUCAGAGGAGACAUAUGGAGGAGGAGGAAUUGUGUAUGUGACAAUCACACAGCUGACUGAGUCUGACUCAGGACAGUACAGAUGUUCUCUGAAUCCAUCUUCUGGUCAAGCUUCAUUCAGAGUCUUUGAGAUCAACGUCACAGAUGCAGUCGUCCAAUCAGCCUUCUCACCUUCACUCACCUCCAGUGUAACCACGGAGCAGCCUGAGAAAACAUCUGAAGGUGUUUCGCUGCCUGUGGGUCUGACUGUGGCUGUCAUCAUCAUCAUCAUCAUCAUCCUGUUAUCAGUGUCUGUGCUGAUAUUCUGCAAGAAAAGAUCUGCAAAACCAAAGAAUCCUCGUGUGGAAACAGAGUACGCUGCUGUCACAGAGACCAACAACGCCGUGUAUGAGGAAAUCAGAGACGAGGGCGGAGAGAAAGCUGCUCCUGUGGAAACCAGUUCAGUUUAUGCUUUGGCCAAAUACAACAACGCGCCUGAAACCACCGAUGACUACAGCAUGAUCACUGCAGCCAUGCCUGAGCACAGCGAUGAAGACGACUCGAGCAAACUCACCAAAUCUGAGCUGAAUAGUUCAAAACCAGACGUGGCCUCUGCCAGCAGCACCUCCCCUCAGCCUCAGGGAGACGCAGGCUCUGACCCGAGCCAGUCUCUAGAAAAUCCACUGUAUUCUACUACAGACUAGCUUCUAUUCUGCUGAUGGCAUAUUUUCUCCUGCAGUGUUCAAAAUGAAGUCGUUCUCUCACAAAAUGUGAGAUUUUUUUAAUGCAACAAUGUGACAGUUUCAGGAAAACAGUUAAAUACAGGAGAGCUUUGACUUUCUGAUACACAAGCUGGGACGAUGGGAAGAAAUUCUGCUGUUGGCUAAAGUAACCAAACUAAAAACUAGGCUGAAGUUUCAUAUUUUACACGUUCAUGCUUUACACUCUCAUCCCUAAAGGAGUUUGUCAUUCUUUACACUUAGCCAGAAGUAAACCGUUAAGAGUACAGACUGUACAUUUUACUGAGCUAAAACCAAAAACUGUUUAUUAAUUUUAUAAUUAAAUGCUGAUUGUUUUUUACAGUGAAGUGGAGAGUGUUAUUGGCAGAAGUGUCCUUCAGUGCAUUCACAUGAGGUCAUAAUAAUGAUUUGUUGUGUGUUGCUUAACAACCAUGUUCACUAUUACGUUUCAUGCUAAUGUUCUUUAAAGCUAAUGUAUUUUUAAUUUAUUUUAAAUUGCUCUGCAGAGUAUCUGUCAAAUAAAUGUUCAACUCAUGGUUUUUGUUUUUGUUUUUUGUUUUUUGCAUGUAUAAAAUCUUCCUAUUUUAUAAAUAGUGUGAGAUUGUAAACAUCUGUUUCAGGCAGCAGCAAAUACAGGAAGUCAGUAAGCUUGCAUAAGAUCUGUUCUUCACUGCCUCAGUAUGACCUGUGCUGUUAACUGAAAUUACCCUUGGAAACAUUUACAUAUGUGAUGAUUAAUGUCACCACUGUCAUGUUUUCAGUCUGAUUAGUAGUAGCUGAGAGAAGGACAGUAGGACAGAUAAGGACAGCAGAGCGCUGUAUGAGCAUCUGUGGGACAGAAACACUCCCUCAGCAAAGACCUUCAUCCUGUGAUGCAGACGCAGGCUGUGAGAGUCUGUGUUGGUAACCAGAGGCUUCACAGGUAUUUCAGGGGUUGUUCUGUCAGUUUGCUUAUGAAAGGUUACUGUGAGAGGCUUUGAGACGGGAGCAGCUGGAAGCUGGAUGAAUCUGCUUUGAUUCAGCCAUUGAUCAUUUUCAUUUCAUUUUAUUAGUUUCUCACUGUUUAAAUUAAAUAAAUUCAUACUCAAUACUUUUAGGGCAGUUUUGCAACCCCAGUUGCCAGAAAAGUUCAAAGUUGUGUAAAAAUUGAAUCAAAAAAUGAAUUUAACAAUCUGCAAAUAUUUCAUUCACAAUAGAACAGAAAAUAUAUCAAAUGUUUAAACUAAGAAAAGGUAAUUUUUAAGAAAAAAUAGAAAGAACAAAGAAUAAGACAGGAAAAGAAACCCAGGCCUGUUUCAGUAAGUUACUUAUUUUGCUACUGCAUUGAGUAUCACCCCACUGUUUAAAACUAAUGCUGUACAAUGUUUAAUUACAAUUUCUAGUUAAAUAAAUGAAACACUGGUGAAGAGUAAAGUCCCAGUAAUGAGAGCAACCACACCGACUCUACAGAUACUUAAUGAAAGAAACGACCACAGCUGAUCAGUAUUACUCAGUGCUGAAAGUCUCAGCAGUAAAUUGUUAGUGGGGAUCAGGCGUUAGCUCCUAAUCAGCACCUGUAAGCUGUCAGUACUGACUGGUCAGAAAAAGCUCAUUGAACAACUCCAGCAGCUGUUUGCAGAGCCAGCUGUUCUGGUGGAUAUAAGGAAAUGAGGAAAACAGGAGGAGCAGGUGAGGAUGAGGAGGAGCUGAUGCUCACUCUCGGAUUUGGUGGAUCAGCGGCUCGCCUUGCUUCCAAAAUGUUUAUCGACCUCUGACACACUGAGG
ensembl:lncRNA